rfam:Beta vulgaris subsp. vulgaris Bvchr2.sca013.con0139.1, whole genome shotgun sequence.
AGUAGUGUAAGAGAGCUUCCUUCAGCCCACUCAUGGAUGGGAAAAAGAGGGUCUGAAUUAUCUGCCGACUCAUUCAUUCAAACACUCAGUAGACCGAAGAAUUUGCAAGGGCGUUCUACUGUGAUUGCAUGAAUGAUGCGGGAGAUAGUUUCAUCCUUCUCUCUCCUUGCUUGGACUGAAGGGAGCUCCCUUUCUCUAUUCA